rnacentral:misc_RNA from 1 species
AACGCACGAGACCUGCGGACCUGCGGAAGGAUCAUUACCGAGUUUUCAACUCCCAAACCCCAUGUGAACUUAUACCAUUUACAACCGUUGCUUCGGCGGGUUCUCGCCCCGGGCUUUACACCCCGGAACCAGGCGGCCCGCCGGGGGACCCAAACUCUAGAUUUAUAUUUUAGCAUGUCUGAGUGGAAUCAUUACAAAAUGAAUCAAAACUUUCAACAACGGAUCUCUAGAUCGGAAGAG